AUACCGCUAACAACAAAACCUAAUCUAAUCUCGCUCUCCUCUCUUCUCUUUUAUGGAACACGGCCUAAAGAGUUCUUCUUCUUCCUGUUUCCUACAGCAAGAAAACUUGACAAGGGUUUAAUCACUAAUCAACUGAUGUUCUUUUGUUCCUUGCACUCCUUCUCCGUCUCUCUGUUCAUACCAUCUUCUAUCUGUUCACUUUUCUAAUUCUAAAACUAAUUUUUGCCCUUGGUAUAAUCAAUAAACCUUAACCCAUGUUUUAUUUUGUAGGUACAAACUUUGCUCUUGGUACGAUCUUUUCUCUUGAUAAACAACGAAAUGUUGUCUGUUGGACCAAACUGAGACGUAUUACAAGCUGAAUUUGUCAUUUUUGUAGGGUUUAGUGUUCAAUUUAAAAGAAAAGUUGUUUCUAAGAACGAAUGGAGGACGAAGGUUGAGCUGAAAUAAAUAAAAAUUAGCAGUGGCUUCCCGAUGAGUUAAUGAAUCACAACCACCUCCAGCUUGCAGACAACUGAGAUUUGUAUUGAAUCACCACCAAGUUUGCGAAAAUUCGAGACUCAUCAAGUACCGUUAUUACCAAGAAAGUAGCAAACCCAGUAGCCAAGAGCUUCACAACUAAAUUAUCUUGGGCUUUCAUACAUAGAGUCGUCAGUAAUUAACUUGAGUUGAUCGAGCAAGUGAAAUACUAUCAACUGAAAUCAUAACUAUGAGCCGCACGAUACUAAUCAAAAAUGCUUCGCGACUGGGCAAAGUCGAGCCACACCAAUUCAAAAAUGCAUCGGGACAUGAGGGUGGGUGGAGUCCCGCAAAACCUAAUAAAAAAUGCACGAUGGGGCGUGGCGAAGCUACAUCACACCAAAUCAAAUAUAUACCAAAGACAUUGAUUCUUGGUGGCCAAAUCGAAAAUGCAUCGGGACGAGACGGGACGAAGCCGAACCACACCAAAUCAAAAAUGUAUCAGGACGGGGGCGAGGCGAAACCGAACCACACCUAUUUUUCUAUGACUGAUAUAAGAGUUUGUUUAUCUCCUUAUAUAUCUAAGAAGAGUUUCUUCUUCUUCCUAUUUUUCAAUGACUUAUAUAUAUAUAUAUCUUUGUUUACGAUUAAUCAUUAAAUUAAUAUUUUUGUAUUUGUUUUUUGCAGGUAAGAUUUUUGUAUAUCUUUGCAGUAUGGAUGCCAUGCGACAAUUCAAAACAUUUAUUUUAUUUUCUCUUUGUUUUCCAUAAACAGGUUUAUCAUGUCAGGAAAAGGCUUUACGAUGAUUUUCUUAUAAGACGGUGUGUUCAGGACAAGGAUGUGAUAUGAAUACUGUAAAGACAACCUUCAGGUGUAACCGGCUCACUAUUCUAACUCCUUUGAAAUCCUAAGUCAUGCGAGGCCAUGCGUGGCGCGGUGGGAGUACCUUCCUCCUCCUUUAACGACAACCCUCACCCACUCUCAAAAUUGCUCUAUUCCACUUUUUCUCAAAGGAGAGAAAAACAAGGCUUUUGCUAACAAAAUAAAGAAAUUUUUCCGUGGAAAAAAUAAAAAAGAAACAUUGUUCGCAUCUUUCCAUCCAUAAAGCCGUUGUUUCCUCUGCAUAGUUUCGUGAUAUACUUACUCCUGGAUUUUCAGAAAGGCAAGUGUGAGAUGCGUAUGCAAGCUUGGAAUAUGCAGCGAGGAUUAACGAAGGGACUAAAGAUAAAUAGGUAUCGUUGCCGGUUCCAGUAUGAGUGGAUUAUUUUUAUACCAUCUGGACUACCUCUAAUAUGCAGUGAGCAGUCUGAAAAAGGGAUUGAAGACGCAUUCACAUAAAAAAAAAAUGAUUGAAGACUAGAGAAAGGGUUACAACCCUUUUUUCACAUACACAUAGGAGAGACUCCCUUUUUGUAUAUACUAGGAGGGAAGUUGUUUAUUCUGAUGGGAUCUUGACAUGGUCAGAGAGUAUAUUGCAAUCUUUGUUGGCAGGAUCUUUAUAGCUCUACCAGCUGAGUUGAUCUUUUCCAGGUUGUAUACGCAAGGUUGUUGCUUUCUUUUACACCGAUUGAUAAAUUCUAUCAAGGCUACAUCAGUUAGCAUGAAAGAAGUCACCCAGAAUCAUGAAGUUGUAAUGCAAGCACAGAAGAUCGACCAAAAACACCAAUUACAGAAGCAGAAAAGAUAAAUAAAAAGUGGCACCAAGCUGUGGUAAGAAUAAUGGUGUUGCUAAAUAUGAAGGCAGCAGUCUAACUGGCGGUAAUGAAUAUGGUCAGUAAAUAUUAAUGAUGUAUUUGUAGUCACAUAAGAGAUUACAGGUUAAUAAAUAUUGCUUGGGCUUACUAUGUUUUCACAAAAGUCUAUUAGCGGAGGUCUAACAUCCAAAAUAAAUACUAACAUUGCAGAGAUACCAUAUAUAUUUCAAGUAUAUAUACCAAAACUACAUCUUUUCUUUCUUGGUUUGA